rnacentral:rRNA from 1 species
AGAGUUUGAUCAUGGCUCAGAUUGAACGCUGGCGGCAGGCCUAACACAUGCAAGUCGAGCGGAUGAAGGGAGCUUGCUCCUGGAUUCAGCGGCGGACGGGUGAGUAAUGCCUAGGAAUCUGCCUGGUAGUGGGGGAUAACGUCCGGAAACGGGCGCUAAUACCGCAUACGUCCUGAGGGAGAAAGUGGGGGAUCUUCGGACCUCACGCUAUCAGAUGAGCCUAGGUCGGAUUAGCUAGUUGGUGGGGUAAAGGCCUACCAAGGCGACGAUCCGUAACUGGUCUGAGAGGAUGAUCAGUCACACUGGAACUGAGACACGGUCCAGACUCCUACGGGAGGCAGCAGUGGGGAAUAUUGGACAAUGGGCGAAAGCCUGAUCCAGCUAUGCCGCGUGUGUGAAGAAGGUCUUCGGAUUGUAAAGCACUUUAAGUUGGGAGGAAGGGCAGUAAGUUAAUACCUUGCUGUUUUGACGUUACCAACAGAAUAAGCACCGGCUAACUUCGUGCCAGCAGCCGCGGUAAUACGAAGGGUGCAAGCGUUAAUCGGAAUUACUGGGCGUAAAGCGCGCGUAGGUGGUUCAGCAAGUUGGAUGUGAAAUCCCCGGGCUCAACCUGGGAACUGCAUCCAAAACUACUGAGCUAGAGUACGGUAGAGGGUGGUGGAAUUUCCUGUGUAGCGGUGAAAUGCGUAGAUAUAGGAAGGAACACCAGUGGCGAAGGCGACCACCUGGACUGAUACUGACACUGAGGUGCGAAAGCGUGGGGGGCAAACAGGAUUAGAUACCCUGGUAGUCCACGCCGUAAACGAUGUCGACUAGCCGUUGGGAUCCUUGAGAUCUUAGUGGCGCAGCUAACGCGAUAAGUCGACCGCCUGGGGAGUACGGCCGCAAGGUUAAAACUCAAAUGAAUUGACGGGGGCCCGCACAAGCGGUGGAGCAUGUGGUUUAAUUCGAAGCAACGCGAAGAACCUUACCUGGCCUUGACAUGCUGAGAACUUUCCAGAGAUGGAUUGGUGCCUUCGGGAACUCAGACACAGGUGCUGCAUGGCUGUCGUCAGCUCGUGUCGUGAGAUGUUGGGUUAAGUCCCGUAACGAGCGCAACCCUUGUCCUUAGUUACCAGCACCUCGGGUGGGCACUCUAAGGAGACUGCCGGUGACAAACCGGAGGAAGGUGGGGAUGACGUCAAGUCAUCAUGGCCCUUACGGCCAGGGCUACACACGUGCUACAAUGGUCGGUACAAAGGGUUGCCAAGCCGCGAGGUGGAGCUAAUCCCAUAAAACCGAUCGUAGUCCGGAUCGCAGUCUGCAACUCGACUGCGUGAAGUCGGAAUCGCUAGUAAUCGUGAAUCAGAAUGUCACGGUGAAUACGUUCCCGGGCCUUGUACACACCGCCCGUCACACCAUGGGAGUGGGUUGCUCCAGAAGUAGCUAGUCUAACCGCAAGGGGGACGGUUACCACGGAGUGAUUCAUGACUGGGGUGAAGUCGUAACAAGGUA